rnacentral:rRNA from 1 species
GAUGAACGCUGGCGGCGCGCUUAACACAUGCAAGUCGAGCGAUGAAACGUGGACAGUGCCCUUCUGGGCGUAGAUAAGGUGGGGUAGCGGCGGACGGGUGAAUAACCCUUUAGUAACCUGCCUUCGACAUUGGACUGGCCUUGGUAAACCGUGAUUUAUACCAAAUCAAAGCAUAAUAGCACAUGUCAUAUUUAUCAAAACUCCGGGGGGCUAAGAUGGACUCGCGGCCCGUUAGCUAGUUGGUGGAGUAAAAGCCUACCAAGGCGACGAUGGGUCGCAGGCGUGAGAGGGUGAAGGGCCACAUUGGAACUGAGAAACCGGCAAAACUCCUACGGGAAGCAGCAGUGGGGAAUAUUGCAAACGGGAGGGAACUCUGAUGGAGCUACGGAGCGUGAACGAAGAAGGCUUGCGAGUCGUAAAGUUCUUUUAUAUGGGAAGCUAAUGACGGUACCAUAAGAAAAAGCCCCGGCUAACUACGUG